rnacentral:rRNA from 1 species
GACGAACGCUGGCGGCGUGCUUAACACAUGCAAGUCGAGCGGUAAGGCCCUUUCGGGGGUACACGAGCGGCGAACGGGUGAGUAACACGUGGGUGACCUGCCCUUAGCUCUGGGAUAAGCCUGGGAAACUGGGUCUAAUACCGGAUAUGACUCCAUGACGCAUGUUGUGGGGUGAAAGCCUUGUGCGGCUAGGGAUGGGCCCGCGGCCUAUCAGCUUGUUGGUGGGGUGAUGGCCACCAAGGCGACGACGGGUAGCCGGCCUGAGAGGGCGACCGGCCACACUGGGACUGAGACACGGCCCAGACUCCUACGGGAGGCAGCAGUGGGGAAUCUUGCGCAAUGGGCGAAAGCCUGACGCAGCGACGCCGCGUGAGGGAUGACGGCCUG